rnacentral:lncRNA from 1 species
AACUGCAGUGAGAAGGGGUUUGUUUGUUUYCUUUUUAAAUGUUAUCCUUCCUUCCUCCUCCUCCUUUUUAAUGAAGAUGUAUUUAUACAAAAACUCACCCCGUGUUGAGCAUGGCACAUGGACAGGUUGGCCACUUUGGACUACUUUUGCAACAAUGGAUUCUGCUGGACUGAUAUUGAAACCAUGGGACAGACCUCAGGSAGCUGUUUGGCAGCACUUCCUCACUUAAGCUGACGAGUUAACUGCCUUUGCAAGAAGGGUGUUGGAGGAUUCUUCCAGGGGAUGCUUGAGAGCAGAAACCCACUACGAGGACUCCCUUCCUCUCUGUGCCAGCGUCUCAUCCCACAGCGUACAGGGAGAACGCAGAAGCUACCAGGAUCCAUGAAGUUCCUCCUUGAGCAUCAUUUCAAAUUUUCAGUGCAUUUAGAAGGUCUUCAAAAGGGUAUUUUCGGCAUUGCUCGUCUGACUUUGGAAUACAAGGAGUGUCGGCUCUGGUGUCUGCUGGCUUCAGCGAGGGCUGGUGGGCGUCCGGGCAGCCCGUUACUGUCUGAGCUUUUGAAGAGCUUCCUGAUUAUAACUAAAGCUCAACCCAGAUCCUGGAGAGACCCGAGCAUCCUUGCUUGCGCGCUCUAUCGAAUUUGCUCUGCAGAAGUUCAAGGUUUAAAGGCUUAUGUGAGAGACCUGCGUGGGGACUCUGCCUUCUGCUCCCGGCUCUGCCGCUGCUUCAGCCGAAUGGUCUUGAGUAAGUGAUUUUAUUUCCCUGUACAUGAGUUUCUCAGUUUCUAAAAUAGCAAUAAUAAUGUUUUGUCUCCCUGGUCAAGUGUUUUGUUCUCAAUGGAUGGAAAGUACUAUGUUGUAAGGUCCAUAUGUUAUUGUUGUCGUUACCAUCAUUCUUCUUCAAGAGUAAAUGCUGAGGUUCUGAGUAGUAAAUAUGGAAUACCUGGACUCAAGGUUUUUGG